rnacentral:rRNA from 1 species
UACGAAGGGGGCUAGCGUUGCUCGGAAUCACUGGGCGUAAAGGGUGCGUAGGCGGGUCUUUUAAGUCAGAGGUGAAAUCCUGGAGCUCAACUCCAGAACUGCCUUUGAUACUGAGGAUCUUGAGUUCGGGAGAGGUGAGUGGAACUGCGAGUGUAGAGGUGAAAUUCGUAGAUAUUCGGAAGAACACCAGUGGCGAAGGCGGCUCACUGGCCCGAUACUGACGCUGAGGCACGAAAGCGUGGGGAGCAAACAGG